GAGUGAGCGGGAAGAGCUCAAAUUUAGAAAUCUGGUAGGCUUCGCGUUGCCCGAGUUGUAAUCUAGAGAAGUGUUUUCCGCGUUGGCCCGUGUACAAGUCCCUUGGAACAGGGCGUCAUAGAGGGUGAGAAUCCCGUCCUUGACAUGGACCCCCAAUGCUUUGUGAUACACUUUCAACGAGUCGAGUUGUUUGGGAAUGCAGCUCAAAAUGGGUGGUGAAUUCCAUCUAAAGCUAAAUAUUGGCGAGAGACCGAUAGCGAACAAGUACCGUGAGGGAAAGAUGAAAAGCACUUUGGAAAGAGAGUCAAACAGUACGUGAAAUUGUUGAAAGGGAAACGAUUGAAGUCAGUCAUGCUCGUUGGAUCACACCCUUCUGCGGUGUAUUUCAUUGAGCGGGGUCAACAUCAUUUUUGAUCACUGGAAGGGACAGGAGAAUGUGUAGCACUCUCGUUGGAACUUAUACCCUCUUGUCAUUGACCUUGAUGGACUGAGAAGAACGCAGCAUGCCUUUUGUUGGUCUUCGGACACAUUCAUGCUUAGGAUGCUGACAUAAUGGCUUUAAACGACCCGUCUUGA
rnacentral:rRNA from 1 species